rnacentral:tRNA from 1 species
CAAAGAGUGUCUGAUAAAAGUUGUGGUCUCUUAAAUCACCUAUGGUAAUGCACCCCCUACCCUCUUUGA